rnacentral:tRNA from 1 species
UUUAAGUUGCCAGAAUUAAUGGGCUUGUUUUAGGUGCAUGUUAUGAAAGUUUUUCACUUAAAU